UUCUUUUUGUCCAGUCUUCGUUUACAAAAAAUACGAAUCGACAAGAUCUAUGAUCGAUCGGCUGUAAUACGAAUCCAAGCUCUAGCCCUAGCCGCUCUGAAUGGUGUUAAUUUUCAACCAUUACUGUCGAUUUUUGGCGUUCGGGAUUAAUGAUAUCGCCAAGAUGCAGCAACAGUUUAGGUUUCGGAUCUCGGGAUCACGGAUCGUACCAUCCUCCCAGUUGAGAACUCUCUCUGUGGUUCGAUUCACAGAAGUUACUAUCUCCUCCUCUGUCACCGGAAAAGCCUAGCAAAAUUGUUUGCUCUACUGGCAUGGUUAAAGGAGCUCAUCCAUCUCCUCUUUCAAAAGGAAUUGGACGUCGCAAGGCUGCUUCAUCUAGCAUUACCUCUGUGCUUUAUCUCAAGGACGAGAUCACAAUUGCCACUGCUGGAGCACCAGAUAGGUACUUUCACAACGUUGAUUAGGUUCAUGUAAAGGGUAUUGCUACUUCAUAUAGCUUAUAGCAAUGUUUUUUACAUCCUUUAGUUUUUUUUUUCUGUAUAUCUCUC